UCGCACCUACCGAUUGAAUGGUCCGGUGAAGCCUCGGGAUUGCCAUAAGUUUCCUUCAUUGGGAGUUUGUGGCGAGAACUUGUCUAAACCUUAUCAUUUAGAGGAAGGUG
rnacentral:rRNA from 1 species